CGCGGGGUGGAGCAGCUCGGUAGCUCGCUGGGCUCAUAACCCAGCGGUCGCAGGUUCGAAUCCUGUCCCCGCAA
rnacentral:tRNA from 1 species